rnacentral:rRNA from 1 species
UCAUUACAGUAGUUUGGGGGUUGGAUGCUGGCCCCGUGAGGGCAUGUGCGCGCCCCCUCAUUUCUAAUCCCUCACACACACACACCUGUGCACCUAUGGCGAGCGCCUCCCGUUUGGAGACGUCCGAUCGUAUAAGGUCGGGCUGAGGCGUUCCCUCUUUUUGCAUUUACAACACCGAUAGAAACCGCAUGUCUUUUUGAGCUUUAUAUGUCGUACAACUUUCAACAACGGAUCUCUUGGCUUUUGCAUCGAUGAAGAACGCCGCGAAAGUGCGAAACGUAAUGUGAAUUGCAGAAUUCAGUGAAUCAUCGAAUCUUUGAACGCAUCUUGCGCUCCUUGGUAUUCCGAGGAGCAUGCCUGUUUGAGUGUCGUGAACCCCCCUCAAUUUCCUUUUUCCCUCUCAGGGGGGAAGGGGGAGGUUGGAUUUGGAUGUUGCGGGUUGUGCCCGCUCGUCUUUAAAUGCAUCAGCUGGCCCCCCCCUUAGAGUCGGUCCGAUGACGGUGUGAUAACAAACGCUUCGUUGACUGUGGCGCCGUUUGGGUCGACUUUGAAUCUGGGUCGCUUAUAGUCAGUCCCACUGGGACACGAUAAUGUCAUCUGACCUCAAAUCAGGUAGGAUUACCCGCUGAACUUAAGCAUAUCAAUAAGCGGAGGAAAAGAAACUAACGAGGAUUCCCCUAGUAACGGCGAGUGAAGCGGGAAGAGCUCAAAUUUGUAAUCUGG